GAUGAACGCUGGCGGGAGGCCUAACACAUGCAAGCCGAGCGGUAUUGUUUCUUCGGCAAUGAGAGAGCGGCGUACGGGUGCGUAACACGUGUGCAACCUGCCUUUAUCUGGGGGAUAGCCUUUCGAAAGGAAGAUUAAUACUCCAUAAUAUAUUUAACGGCAUCGUUUAAUAUUGAAAGCUCCGGCGGCUAGAGAUGGGCACGCGCAAGAUUAGCUAGUUGGUGAGGUAACGGCGCACCAAGGCGAUGAUCUUUAGGGGGCCUGAGAGGGUGAUCCCCCACACUGGUACUGAGACACGGACCAGACUCCUACGGGAGGCAGCAGUGAGGAGUAUUGGUGAAUGGGUGCAAGCCUGAACCAGCCAUCCCGCGUGAAGGACGACUGCCCUAUGGGUUGUAAACUUCUUUUGUAUAGGGAUAAACCUACCCUCGAGAGGGUAGCGGAAGGUACUAUACGAAUAAGCACCGGCUAACUCCGU
rnacentral:rRNA from 1 species